rnacentral:lncRNA from 1 species
CUUUUACUUGAGGACAUGGUAAAAUCAAACUAAUCAAAAGGUGAAAAAUCCAAAUAAGACGAAUCUUCAACUGUACUAAAAUAAAACCAAAAUCAUUUGAAAGGGAGAGAGGGAGAAGUGAAACUACAUAGAGAAAUAGAAUACUACGUCUGGCUCCAUGUGACUGAUCCAAUGUUGUGUGCUUUGCAUUAAAAGUCUUUUCCUUAUUUCGUAUACUUCACAAUAACUUUUCAUACACACUCAGAAGUGUGUAUUUUCAUCCCAAUAAAUGCAUUUCUUUUCCUGAAAUCUAGAUCCAACCAAGGCUUUAAAUUCUUGGAAAAGCCUCAUAAGAGAUCUCCAAAGAAAAACAAACAUAGAUUUCAGUACAUAUUCAACAUAUGGCUCCACUCCAAGAUUUCAGUCUGAAAAAGGUAUUGUUUUUGCUUCUUCUCUUGGUUUUCUUCACUUCAAAAUUCAGCUCCGCAAACUGACAAAAAAGUUUUGGCAGAAGAAGAUCAAUGUUACAGAGUAGAAGAAGGUGAGCCAGUUAUUAAGAAGAAAACUACUUGUACCAAACUAUCUUCCUCAAAAAAAUACAGCCAAGGUUAUUAAAUCCAAAGCAGGUUAAUCCAAGAACCAAACAAAGCUUACUAAACUUCCUCUUGAUUCUGCCAAGAACAAAAUCAAGCCUAUGAAAUCCACCUCUGAUUCCAUUAAAGAUUCUACAACCACUAUCAAAUCCUAGCUCAAGAAACUAGCAAGUUAGAAUCUCAACAUUAUAUGGCUUUACAUUAAUUUGACAUGGCUAUGUAGGAAUCUACCAAGUUAGGUACACAAGGAUAUCAACCAUACGCCUAAAAUAGGGAAGAAACAUCUGCAAAAUCAAUAAGUUCAAUAAUAACAAGUACACAAAAGUAAAAUCUCAUCCUAAUGUAGGAAGAAAAAAGAGAUUAAGUACCUCAAGUUAGGAGCUUCAUAUCCUGCAUAGAUCAAACCAAAUGUUAAAAAAUAAGAAUGUAAAAAUAAUAGUAAUUAUUUAUUUCUAUAAACAAGGAUAGAUUAGUGUACAGCACGUUGAUAUGAUAUACGUGGGAUGCAAAUACAUCCACUUCCACCUCUUACAACAACCCUAUAUCCCCUUUUAGUUUUUGAAAAUUAGCCAAAAGACUAUGACAACUAUAUUCUAAUCAAGUACAGCUUCCUUUGUGACCAAGAUCCAUCUUUUCAACAUACAUAAUCAAACUUUUCAGGAGUAUAUUUAGCUCUCGAAUAGAAGGGAGGUUUCUUUAAUUUGAAUGAUAAAAAGAGAGAAUUGUUUUUGCUGUCAUAAUAAAUAAAAUAUAGAAAGGAACUUGCUUCACGUAAUGUUGAUCAUCAUCUUUGCUUCAGUUCUCAAAUACAUGGAUCACCUUCUAUCGGUUUAUUUAGUAAAGGAAGAUAAAUAAAUGGAAAAAAAAAAGUGUGAAAUGACUUUAAACAAGAAAAACCUUUUUACUAGAGGCAUGACAAUAUUCAAGUCGCAUAUACAAGAUGAGUAGCUUGAAAGCAACUAGCUUGGCAUCUACAA